CUACGGGUGGCACCAGUGGGGAAUUUUGCGCAAUGGGGGAAACCCUGACGCAGCAAUACCGCGUGAGUGAAGAAGGCCUUUGGGUCGUAAAGCUCUUUUCUUGGGGAAGAUAGUGACGGUACCCAAGGAAUAAGCACCGGCUAACUCCGUGCCAGCAGCCGCGGUAAUACGGAGGGUGCAAGCGUUGUUCGGAUUUACUGGGCGUAAAGGGCACGUAGGCGGCACAGCAAGUUAAGGGUGAAAUCCCGGGGCUCAACUCCGGAACUGCUCUUAAAACUGCUGAGCUAGAGAUAGUCAGAGGCGGGUGGAAUUCCAGGUGUAGAGGUGAAAUUCGUAGAUAUCUGGAGGAACACCGGUGGCGAAGGCGGCCCGCUGGGGCUAUUCUGACGCUAAGGUGCGAAAGGGUGGGGAGCAAACGGGAUUAGAUACCCGUGUAGUC
rnacentral:rRNA from 1 species